GUGCCCGCUGGGCAGCGCGGUCCAGCUGCCGGCGCCCCGCCGGCUGGUCAGGUGGCCGGACUCGCGCAGCGUCCGGUACGCGGCGGUCACG
rnacentral:tRNA from 1 species